ACAAUGCAGGCAGGCAGCAAUUGCUCGACUCUCAGCCUCCACUCCCCAGCCUGGCUAUGCACAAUAGGAGAUAGGGUGGUCUGAGAACACAGGGUGGCUACCCUGAUGGAGAAUAGCAUUCUUGGCCCUCAGGAGAUCGUUAGGUAGCAAGUUGGCUGCAAUGAGAAGCAAUGAGAGCAGGCAAGCAGCGUGGCAGCCCCAGCCUCGUGUGUAUGUGUGUGUCUCCCAGGCCUAGCUCAGACCCACUGCAGCAGACUGCAUGAGAUGUUAUGUGCAGGUCAGUGGGAAGUUUCUUCCAUUCCCCCUCCCCUCCCCCCAAAAAAAGAGUUUUCAGUUUUGAAACGGUGCAUUGCAGCUUAUUUUGCAGCAGCUGUGGGGGUGGCGAGGGGUGGUGAAGGGGGCCUCAAGUAGUGGCAGGGGCCUUGAGGGGGCGGCCUCCAAAGCCUUGAGGUCCAGGCUCCAAAACUACCUAGGUGUGCCACUACCUGUCUCUUAGGUAAACAGGGAAACAGGCUCAACCACAUAGGCCUUGGCUCCUUAGAUGUGACGGUGGCCCCUUCUUUCUGACAGUGGCCUCUUCUUUUAUUUUACCUCAGAACUCCUAGGCCUCAGUGUUCCUAUUUGGCUUCUACAACCCUCUGUCCUUGAAUCUCACAAGCAAAAAGGGCUGCUAAGUUCCUUUUAAGGCUCAGAGGGUUUAGGACUUUUAAGCAUGACAGGAAGUCAUCCCACUGGUGCAAUUUGACCUUUUGUAUUAAGAUAGUAAAAUGAAACAAAAUGAAGGAAGAGGCCACUGUCGUAUAGAAGCUGCAACAUUAACACUCCUAAGCAUUUGAGGUAGGGAAGUGCAUGGGCCGUGGUUCAAGCACAGUUUGGGAGUGUGGCCCAGGAGGAGUGUUAAGAAAGAGGAGAGCAGGUCCUUACCUGCUCUCCGUUGCCCCAGGCAGCUUCCUGCUGGGGCAGUGUGCAUCCCAAGAAUCUCUGCGCGGCGCCAGAACACACAUGGUGUCCACGCAUGCACCGGUGCCAUUUGCCUGGUCAGCAUGUUGUUGCUCUUGAACUGUGCUUGAACUACGGUUCAUUCACAUCUCUAAUUUGAGGCCUAUGUGAGAGGACAGGCCCAAUCUACCUUAGGGACAUGAGUAGAAAACCCUCCAAAUGUAAUAAGGAUUGAAUUUAUGUUCAAGAAGAGAGUUCUCUUUCCUGGGGUGGGGGACAAAUGUCAACCAGCCCUGACAGAAGUUAUUCUCAGCUGUUACUAGGGCAAAAGGCAAAACGAUCAGGAAAAAGGCACUGUUCACCCCGCCUUCUCCUCACAUUUGCUCCCCACCCCUUUUUUAAAGGCAGAGAAAUAUCAAAUAAAAAUAAUUUCCCCUUAUACUGGUAUGCCAUGUAAGAGGCUGAUUUGGGGGGGAGGGCAGAUCUUUUGACUUACAAAACUCGUUCUAAUUACUAAACUUGUGGUCUUCACUCCACUCCCUUGAAACUGUUCAAACGCACACCCACCACGUCCACGCAGUUGCUUCCUUUUUUUUUUAAAGGGGGUAGGGGGGAAAUCAAAUAAAAAUAAAGUAUUGGAGAAAAAUAACCCUUUAAUAAUUUAUUUGUAUUAACUUUGAAACAGUCCUGACAUAUCAACAACACUGAUUUCUCACGGAACACCUUUUCUCUUCUCACUGCAUCUACCCAAGUUUCCCAUCGCUUCUUUUCUGUAGGUAUAUACACAUCCCGCCCCACACCCGCCGUGUGCUUUUUCUUGUGCUCUUGCAAAGUGGUACUAUACACUACUUGUACCUUCUGGGUUUUUCAAAAUCACGAUUGUUUUUGAUCAGAUUACUGCAGGAAACAUCACUCUCUAUACUCUGAAUUAUGAGGCCUAAAGAAAAAGCACAGUAAUGAUGUCACAGCAGAGCCAACAAAACUGCUGUCUGUAUAGGAGACAUCCCCAUUGUCAUUUGUUUGAAUAUAAAUGCACUGGCUUUUCUCUCCCGCCCUGCACAGCCACAGCAGCACCUCCCAAAGCCACAGAAGCCCUCAGCGGCACUAGAUAGCCUUGGAAAGAAAAGGCACUCGUUUUCCAAGCCAUGUUAGUUAUUUACUCCAACCCAGAGGAGAGAGGGCCAACUAUGAACAAAGUUCAUGCAUUAGUUGGAGGCAAGGAAGCACUUUGGAUCUGACACAUUAAAACAAAUUCAGAUGCCAGCAUUGAAGACUUUAAUUUGGAAGACUGGAGCUGACCCUUGAAAGGAUUGUCCCAAAGCCGAAAGAACUGAGAAGAUUCCCAGGAUGCCCAACUCAGUUCUACACCUCUCUGCUGCUCUCCAAUGAUGAACUCGCCAUCACGUACAACAUUGCCAAAUUCUGUGUGGCAGCGUGCAAGGUUCGCUGGGUCCUGACAGCCAGCAGGUCCUGACCAGGAUGAUUUCUACGCUCAACUACACAGAAGUCUUUACAUUCCUGUAUUUGUACAGUUGCUACGCACUCUAUCCACACACCCUGCUUAUAUACUUUACUUCAUUUUAAGAGUUUUUAAAAAAUAUUUUAAAUCUUACCGCUAUCAGUGAUACUGUUUAUACAGCUCGUCAGCUUUUAGCAAUAGUCUUUUACAUUCUUACAGUUGUAUAGCUUUACACUUUUAUAUACCCUGCAUAGUUUUUAAAAUUAAAAUUUAGAGUUUUAGUGCUACUGUUCAUACAGCUAAACAGCUUUUAACAAUACUAUUUUAUAUUCUUCCAUUUUAUACCUUGCCCUUUGUAAAUUAGACACACCCACAUAACCUUCUAUGCUUGUACUUACUUAUGCUGGUCUAAGACCGUAAUAAAGAUGAUUCGUCAAGACA